rnacentral:ribozyme from 1 species
UGAAAGAAUAGUCUGCCUGCAUCUUUCUUCUUUUCAAUUUUCUCUCUUUUUCUUCUGCUUUUUUCCCCCCAAACAG